rnacentral:lncRNA from 1 species
ACCCGCGCCCAGAGCAGACCGGGACCCACACUCCUUGCUCAGCUGCCAUGGAACCCUCCACUGCUGCUUCCUCAUCUGUACCCUCCGAAUUGUAACGGGCAAAGUGUGACCACGAAACGAGCUCCUCGUAAGGCAGCUGCCUCUGUGCCUGCCCGGCCCCCAGAAGGUUCGGAUUUAGGUUGGUGCCGUACAUCCGAGCCCCCUUCUCUCGAACCUGGGUGGACAGAUCAAGUCCCAAGGGUUUUAGUAGUUUAGUAGUGUGUAAAUCCACGUAAACAGGACGGCCCGUUGCGACCGUCCCCAGGCUUCGGGUCCCGGGAGAGGCGGAGAAGAGCAGAGGCUGCAGUGUCUUCGGUCCAAGGCUUAUCUCACUUUGGAGAUUAGCAGGGCGGGGCGUUACUUGCAACCACGUUUUAAUGGGCGGCAAGUAUUGCCUUUCAAGCUGUGUGGGGUUUUGCUCUGUUUUGUUUCUGGCUGGAUUAAUUUGCAAGUGAAAAGUUCUGGGACGUCCUCGUGAGGUUGACUCAGACGAGCAAAGAAAGAGAAAGAAAUUAUUUUCACCCAAGUCUGUGCUGAACUGAUAGACGUCAAGUGUCCGAGGGGGCAGCCCUGAGGAGAUGGAGGAGCUGAGAAGCUGCGUGGGACUGUCCUGGGGGCUGCUGAGAGCCACUGGAAAUGCCACGUUCGACUCCCCAGAGAGCCCCGGGAAGCCUGGUCCUCGAGCUGCAGGCCGCGAAGCUCGGGGGUGCAGGAGCACUGCCCUCCUGGCCUGCUUCGAGGGCCCAGCUGCUGUCCGCCCCCCGACAGGGAAGAAGCAGGCCACGAGUCCAGAGUGCUUCCAGUCGUAAAAGGCACCCCCGUUCUGGUCAGAAAUGAUCCCCAAAGAAGGGAGCCCCGGACAGUGGACGCUGAAGCUGCCGGCAGACCUCGCGGCUGUGUGGGCAGAGCUGGGGAGCCAGCCCCGGCCCUGGGACAGCUGCCUGUCUGCGUUUCCACGGCAACGCACGGAGGGAUGCCAAGCCUCCUGCCUUUAUAGACAAAUGCUUAUGUCCUCUAUCUUUUUCCCAAAUCACCCCCGAAAACAGUUGACGAUUCCUGACCUCUGCCCCUUCCCCACCUCUCUGGAAGAGAGGGCCCAGGACACCUGCGGAGUUGAUUGCUGCCCAGGUGCACAGGUAGCGCUCCCAGAGGGAGACGCAUUUUGGAGACUGAGGACUGUGCCCUUGGCGGAGAGAGGGCCGGCUCUCCCCUCGCCUUUGUCCAGCGAACUGCCCUGCCUAAGGACAGAGCGUGGCCUUGAUGGGACACUUUGCUGUCUGAGCCUCGGUGUCUGUAACAGUGAAACUCUAAAAGCUUUUGAAAUGCAAACAGACUGGCCCUGGCCCUCUUGGAGCACCACCCAAGGAUUUCAUGGCUCCAGGCAGGAGGGAUACACUAGUCCCAAUGUUGGCUGAGCCUUUUCUCCAAGUUUCUAUUCCUAGAAGGUUAUAACUAUGAGUCAGAAAAUUACCAUAAAUUACCCUGGGGCUGGGGCUGGGGGUAGGCUGAAGGCCAGGGGGGGUUGGGAAAUCACCUCCCCAAGGGGACCACUCCCACCACUGGCAGAGCCCAGAGCCAACAUUGGAACCUGAACCUGAGAGUCCAGACUUUGGGGGUGGGGUGCUGCUGGUCAUGAUCAAGCUUCUGGCACUUGAAAACGGCAGCGGUCUGGGGUCAGGACACAGACAACAACACAGAGACACAGUCCCUUCCUCCACAUCCUAAUUUUGUGAGUUCUCUUAGGAAAAUAUGUCAUACAAAUGAAGUUAAAACCCAACAAUAAUCCCAGUUUUUGAAAUGGUAUAAAACUGGGGCGCCUGAGUGGCUGAGUUUGGUUAAGCGUCUGAUUUAGGCUCAGAUUAUGAUCUCAAGGUUCGUGGGCUCAAGCCCCGCAUCGGGCUCUCUGCUGUCAGCGCAGAGCCUGCUUGGAUCCUCUGUCCCUCUCUUUCUCUGUCCCUCCCCCGCUCGUGCUCUCCCUCAGAAAUAAGACAAGCAUUUUUUUAAAACGGGGGGCGCCUGGGUGGCGCAGUCGGUUAAGCGUCCGACUUCAGCCAGGUCACGAUCUCGCGGUCUGUGAGUUCGAGCCCCGCGUCGGGCUCUGGGCUGAUGGCUCAGAGCCUGGAGCCUGUUUCUGAUUCUGUGUCUCCCUCUCUCUCUGCCCCUCCCCCGUUCAUGCUCUGUCUCUCUCUGUCCCAAAUAUAAAUAAACGUUGAAAAAAAAAAAAAUUUUAAAAUGGU